AGAGUUUGAUCAUGGCUCCGNUUGAACGCUAGCGGCAGGCCUAACACAUGCAAGUCGAGGGGUAACAGGGUAGCAAUACUGCUGACGACCGGCGCACGGGUGAGUAACGCGUAUGCAAUCUUCCUCUUACAUGGGCACAACCCCGAGAAAUCGGGGCUAAUUCCCAAUAACAUUUWAGGGAGGCAUCUCCCUGAUCUUAAAGCUCCGGCGGUAAGAGAUGAGCAUGCGUACCAUUAGCUAGUUGGUAGGGUCACGGCCUACCAAGGCAGUGAUGGUUAGGAGGUCUUAAAGGAUGAUCUCCCACACUGGUACUGAGACACGGACCAGACUCCUACGGGAGGCAGCAGUGAGGAAUAUUGGUCAAUGGGGGCAACCCUGAACCAGCCAUGCCGCGUGCAGGAUGAAGGCUCUACGGGUCGUAAACUGCUUUUGUACGGGAAGAAACGUCCUACGCGAUAGGAACUUGACUGUACCGUAUGAAUAAGCAUCGGCUAACUCCGUGCCAGCAGCCGCGGUAAUACGGAGGAUGCAGGCGUUAUCCGGAUUUAUUAGGUUUAAAGGGUGCGUAGGCGGGAUUGUAAGUCAGCGGUGAAAUCCCACAGCUCAACUGUGGAACUGCCAUUGAUACUGCAAACCUUGAGUACAAAUGAGGUAGGCGGAAUGUGUAAUGUAGCGGUGAAAUGCAUAGAUAUUACACAGAACUCCGAUUGCGAAGGCAGCUUACUAAAAUGUAACUGACGCUGAUGCACGAAAGCGUGGGGAGCAAACAGGAUUAGAUACCCUGGUAGUCCACGCCGUAAACGAUGAUUACUCGAUGUUGGCGGUACACAGCCAGCGUCUGAGCGAAAGCAUUAAGUAAUCCACCUGGGGAGUACGGCGGCAACGCUGAAACUCAAAGGAAUUGACGG
rnacentral:rRNA from 1 species